UCCUGAACUGAACAGCUGACAGCUGAGUGACAAAAAACCUCGCGGGGGCGAUUUUACCUGCUGAUUUUACAAUUUUCUUUGCAAUUACAACACACAAAUUUCUCAAUAGAAUUAAACUACAAUCCGGAUGAAUCAAAUAAGGGAGAUAGACAAAACGCCGAUGAAGAAAAGAUGAGUCAUUGAAAAAGAACAAGUCGUGAGAGAUCUCUUCCACAGUUCCACCCAAUUUUUCGAAUCACUUGUCGAGAAGGAUGGCCAAACAGUAUACUUGAGGGAUUCGUCUUUCUCCCAGGCACCAUUUCAGAUAACAUCCAGCAGUUGAAACAUCACCUUCCAACUGGCCACCUUUACUGUAAGAAGAACGAUCACUGUUCCACGAAUGGUUGUCCUGGGAUGUUCAAUCGAUGAAGUCAUAAUGCUCAUCCCAUUUACUCACGUGCCAAGAUGGACCUGGAGGCUUUCCGAUGGCAAGUGCGUCUCUUUUUGCUUCACGAAGGUGGUCGUGUCACUCCUAAAAAGGCCAUUGAAAUCUGCUUCCAAGAUUGGUCGUUGGGAGCUCGGAAAACAUUUCGUCCAACUGCACGAUUCUUUCAAAACGUCGCUGUACACGUUCCAGAGAGCUAGCAAGGAUGGAAAUGGAUAAUCGACUUUUAUGAAGAAGAGUUUUCUCCAGGAGUAUCCUCAGAAGAAAUUGGAUUGUUUGAUCGCCGAUCUCAAACUAAACACCCAUUACUGGGGACCCUACACUGGACCGAAACCAACAGUCGAGAAAGAUAAAUCCUUGCUCCUUAUGCAGGGAAAAGGAGAUGAGAGAAUGUUUCACCUCAGCGCAGUAGCGGCUCUGUUGAAAAGGAAAUAAAUCCUCAAAAGAACACUAGGCGAGAAAAGGACCCAAACGGACCGGAAAUCUCUCGUUCGUUUGAAAAUGCCAAAGGAAAAAAAUAUGAUGUGAAAAUUUUUAGUUCCAACAAGUCCAAGGACAAAGCCAGCCCUCAUAUUCCAGAGGAGGACAAGAAAUCCCACGGCAAAGAUAAAAGAAGGCCGCGAAGAAUCGAAGAAGAAGCGGAAUUUGGAUAGUGAACCGGAUCGAGCGAGAAACAAUUUCGAGAUAUCGACACGAAAAGAAAAGGAAUCUACUAGAUCCGAUGAAGAAUUGGGAAAUUUUAGCCCCUAAAGAAAAUAAUAUUCCGUUUUCAGCGGAGUUUACGUCCACCUCAGUAGGCUACUUGGAGUGAUCAGGGAGUCCGUGGAAUCAGCCUAUUUGACGGAAGUCAAGCGGAUGCUGGAAGAGGUCCGGAUGGAGGCCGUCGAACGUAAACGUCGCAAAGCCGAGCCGACCUGAAGAAAGCUCGUGCGCAUCUUAUACUAAUUUGAAUCUGAAUGAUCACAAUUAAGUCGAGAGGAAAUCGAUGAGAUAAUUCAGUUUGAUGGGAUGACCUCGGGCGAACUACUAAAUAUUUCUGGUCCAGAUCAACCCAAAGAGUCUGAAAAGGACCUUCAAUCUGCGUCUGCUUCGUUGUCGAAUUCGUCUUGUCCACUGGAUAGCACCGUUUCUACCAAUCGCCGAAAUCUUGGUAAUUCAGAAAUGGUAGACCAUGGGGUCCUCUGUCACGUCGCCGUCUGUUACCUGAAGAAAGAAGCUGCGAUGAACUAGAACGAGCAUCGGCCAAAGAGAUCCGUUUUCCCGAGGCGUUAAUGCGAUCCACCAAAAUGUUUAGCGAAAUCGGGAUAAAUGUGUUCGCUGUUCCGCUCAGGAAAUUCAUUUAUCCCCAUAGGAUUCAAUUUUCGGUGGUGGUGGUGAGCUGUCUGAAAAUCUGGAAGUAAUCCUGCCGUUCGUGGUUUGUGGCUGAGGCAUCCGUCGACUGGCACUAGGUGCUUAUUGCAUCAUUAUUUUAUUUUAUUGUCAUUGCGUCUAUGCAGAUUACCGUUUACAUGUUAAGAGGGACAAAAGCAGAAAUGUUGGUAAUUCAUGUCAAACAAAAAAACAAAUAAUAAAAUGUUUUCGGGAUUGGGAAAGGAAUGUAGAGGAUGUUGGGGGGUGGGGGUGGGAGAUUUGAAUUUCAGAAAUGUUGAGGUUUUUUGUAAAGAGACCUUCAUGUUAGGUAAUGAUUAAACCAUAACUUAUAAUCCCACCAACAUACACCUUCAUAUUUUUUCCCAAACACCUAUUAACCUUUAAUCCUACAAACAUACGUAUAUAUCAUAUUCCACACCCCUACAAUCCUACCAAUAAAUACCUACCAUUUUUCAAACUCCUUUCCAUGUAACUCUUGUAAUGUGCAAAAAUAAAUUUAAUAUUCAACAAAAA